CCUGUACUGUGGAGAGGAAGGAGCCUGGCAAAGAUGCGUAGCCACCUCGCCAGGUGUGGGUCUUGAGGGAACUUCUGUCUCCUCUCAGGUGGCUCAGAAUGUGGACCUGUACACAGGCGACCCCAACCUGGGGCUGGAGCUGUUUGAGGCAGCUGGAGACAUCUUCUUCAAUGGGGCCUGGGAGCGGGAGGAAGGCUGUCCUUCUACCGGGUGAGCUGGCCUGUGGGCUGAUGUGGGUGGGCCUCAGUGGGGCACCUGGAGGGCUGAGGCACAGGUGUGGCAGGGUAGAGGCCUCCCAAAUGGAGGCAGGGCCACCCAUGCACAUGAUGAGUUUCCAAGUGGUCUGACCGGGAAUGAUAUUGACCAUGCCCCUGCCUGGGACAAACUCUCGGGGCCUGGACGUGACAAUGGCUCUACCCUUGUACCUGAUGACCUCAAGCAACCAUGAGUGGGAAGUCCUGUCCCCAUCUUCCAGAUGAGGAAACUGAGGCUCAGAGAGGCACAGGGACAUGUCAAAGGACACACAGCAUAUCAGUGGGAGGCCCAGGUCUGCAUGCACCCCGAAGUGGGACGGCUUCUCCCUUCCUCUGAGCUCACGGUGUGGCUCAGCCCUGGGCACAGAUCAAUGUGGUGUUUUUAGAGCAGAGAGGAGUGCUGGCUCCCCCCAGUCAGACCUCCGGUGCCCAGGUGGGAGAGGCUGGUCUGCGGCUAUCGGGUGUAGCUGGAUGGGCCUCAGGUGACUCUUCAGCCCCCAACUUGGAUGUCUGAACUGUGUGUUAUCCCAGAGCACAGAGCUGUGUCGAGGUGCAGGGGUAGCUGGGGUGUGGGAAGCUCCAAGCACGUGUUUGAGCUCUGAGGAGGGCGCUGGGCAAGGUGGGUGCUGCGGGAAACCUGACCCCACCUGCCUGUGUGGUAGGACCGGGCCCUGCCCCGGCAGUGACUACGGGCAACCGCAAGGUGGAGCUGCAGCUACAGCUGUGCAACAAGCUGGUGUCACUGCUGGCCACACUGGAGGAGCCCCAGGAGGACUUGGAGUUUGCUUACAUGGCCCUAGCACUCAGGAUCACUCUGGGGGACCGGCUGAACGAACGCGUGGCCUACCACCGGCUGGCCGCCCUGCACCACCGGCUGGACCAUGGCAAGCUGGCGGAGCACUUCUACCUCAAGGCCGUUUAGCUCUGCAACUCGCCGCUGGAGUUCGACGAGGAGACCCUCUACUACGUGAAGGUGUACCUGGUGCUCGGUGACAUCAUCUUCUACGACCUGAAGGUGGGUGGGGAGGAGCAGGGCUCGGGGUGUUCCUGGCCCCCUUGGAGUGGGAUCUCCACCCGGACCCCAGAGGCCUGGGUUCCAGCCUUUCUUAGGAAUGGCCCAGUGGCCUCCCUCGAGCUCUACACCCAGCUGGAGGAGCCGGCAAGGUUAGCAGGUAAAACCCAGCUCCCCAGAUGGCCAGGCCCCACCCUCAACUCAGUCUCAGCCAGGGAGGCUGCCACAUGAGUGGGCAAUGGUGGCCUCUGGGUAAAGAAGGGGGAUUGUAGUCAGGGGGCCCUCCUGGAGGAGGUGACACCAAAG
ensembl:lncRNA